CCAGACUCCUACGGGAGGCAGCAGUGGGGAAUAUUGCACAAUGGGGGAAACCCUGAUGCAGCGACGCCGCGUGAGCGAAGAAGUACCUCGGUAUGUAAAGCUCUAUCAGCAGGGAAGAAGAUGACGGUACCUGACCAAGAAGCUCCGGCUAAAUACGUGCCAGCAGCCGCGGUAAUACGUAUGGAGCAAGCGUUAUCCGGAUUUACUGGGUGUAAAGGGAGCGCAGGCGGCCUUGCAAGUCUGAUGUGAAAGGCCGGGGCCCAACCCCGGGACUGCUUUGGGAACUGUUUUGCUGGAGUAUGGGAGGGGUAAGCGGAAUUCCUGGUGUAGCGGUGAAAUGCGUAGAUAUCAGGAGGAACACCGGUGGCGAAGGCGGCUUACUGGACCAUAACUGACGUUGAGGCUCGAAAGCGUGGGGAGCGAACAGGAUUAGAUACCCCAGUA
rnacentral:rRNA from 1 species